rnacentral:rRNA from 1 species
CCUACGGGAGGCAGCAGUGGGGAAUAUUGGGCAAUGGGCGCAAGCCUGACCCAGCAACGCCGCGUGAAGGAAGAAGGCUUUCGGGUUGUAAACUUCUUUUGUCAGGGACGAAGCAAGUGACGGUACCUGACGAAUAAGCCACGGCUAACUACGGGCCAGCAGCCGCGGUAAUACGUAGGUGGCAAGCGUUAUCCGGAUUUACUGGGUGUAAAGGGCGUGUAGGCGGGACGGCAAGUCAGAUGUGAAAACCACGGGCUCAACCUGUGGCCUGCAUUUGAAACUGUAGUUCUUGAGUACUGGAGCUGCAGCCGGACUUCCUAGUGUAGCGGUGAAAUGCGUAGAUAUUAGGAGGAACACCAGUGGCGAAGGCGGUCUGCUGGACAGCAACUGACGCUGAGGCGCGAAAGCGUGGGGAGCAAACAGGAUUAGAUACCCUGGUAGUC